CAACUGAUUAACAAUAUCUGUCUGGCCAAAACGAAAGAAGCCUAAACCAGGUUGUGCUGUGUAGGAUCGGUUCAGCAAGGCUGAACUGCCUCAAGAAAAGCUGAGGGGGAAGGUGCACCAGUAUGUGUGGGUCUGCUCGUUACCUAUGUAACCUGAGAAGCCUUCGCAAGUGAUGUAUCACCAGGAAGGGCUGCAAUCACUAAGUUGCUCAUGUAAAACAUAAGAGGGCACCAAACGCCCGCUGAUGCUUGGCAUACUCAGUGUAGCUUUACACUGGCAAUUGUAAACAGCUGGUAAUUUCGCAACAUUUGGAUUAAGUCAACAAAGAUAAUGAAUAACUGCAGACUGCCUUUCUCUUUUCAAAAUAGAUUUCUUUAAACAUAAGCAGAUAAUUGUAUUACAAUCGUUUUGGGUUAUUACUACUGGAUUUAUAUCCAUUUUUAAUUUUUUGUUGUAUUUAAUAGGAAAAAAAUAAUCAGUAAUUCAGUGUCCUGAGACAACUGGGUAUGGUGAAUUGAUUCUUCUAGUCCUUAUGUCAUUGAUUCAAUGGAAUUACUCCUGACAUGUUGCUUUGGAAACACAAUAAUUUAUAAUAGUAUAAUUGUAGCAGCAUAAUUAUACUAAGAAAGCAAUGCCACUGUGUUUCCCUACAGAGGAGACCCUGAGUGAGAUUAGACCUAAGCUUACUGGAUCUCAUUGACCAGUUUCAUUCUACCCCUCCUUCUUCAGCCCUUGCGUGAACACCUUGCUCCAAUUUUAUAUUAUUAUUUUAUACUACUUUUUUGGGGGGAUUGCAUCUGCAAAAACUGUAUUUGCCAGCAGUUGCCAUAAAAAAGUUUGAGCACAGGCAGCUUCCUUUCUUCAGCUAAGGGAUUCAAAAUAUUUGAGUCUUUCACUGUAUGUAAAGCAUCAAGGUCAUGUUGCUUACAUGAAAUUUGAAAGUAGGAGCAUAUUAAUUUAUGCACACAGGAUGAUUUGUUACUGCAGUAAAGCCAAAGUAACACUCAUACAAAUGGGAUAUUGAAUAGACAUACUUUAUUAUAAGAUCACAUGUUUUGAGGCUGAGGAAACCAAAUAUGAUUAUAUAACUGGACCUGCACAACAAAGGUAAAAAUCUUUGCCCAGUUCCAUCAGGAAUAAGCUUAUUAAUUCUGUGUAAGCUAUGAUGGGAUCUCUUACAAACAAAUUAAGACUUGAGAAAUCUCUUGAAUAACUAAGGUCUAUAUAUUUUAAUCCUUCCUAGUAGUCAAUAAACAUUAUUAUAAAGGAAA